AUUGAACGCUAGCGGAAUGCUUUACACAUGCAAGUCGAACGGCAGCACGGACUUCGGUCUGGUGGCGAGUGGCGAACGGGUGAGUAACAUAUCGGAACGUAUCCAAUAAUGGGGGAUAACGAGUCGAAAGAUUCGCUAAUACCGCAUACGCCCUACGGGGGAAAGCUGGGGACCUUCGGGCCUGGCGUUAAUGGAGCGGCCGAUAUCUGAUUAGCUAGUUGGUGAGGUAGAGGCUCACCAAGGCGACGAUCAGUAGCUGGUCUGAGAGGACGACCAGCCACACUGGAACUGAGACACGGUCCAGACUCCUACGGGAGGCAGCAGUGGGGAAUUUUGGACAAUGGGCGCAAGCCUGAUCCAGCCAUUCCGCGUGAGUGAAGAAGGCCUUCGGGUUGUAAAGCUCUUUCGCAAGGGAAGAAAACUUAGCCACUAACAUUGGUUGAGGUUGACGGUACCUUGAUAAGAAGCACCGGCUAACUACGUGCCAGCAGCCGCAGUAA
rnacentral:rRNA from 1 species